GGCGGCGUAGCUCAGUUGGUUAGAGCAUCGUAAUCAUAAUCCGAGUGUCCGGGGUUCGAAUCCCUGCGCCGCUACCA
rnacentral:tRNA from 1 species